CUAUAUUUACAGUUGUGAUUGUGGCAUUGUGAAUUACCUUAGUGAAUGGGCACAAUACACUUCAGUGUGAAUUACAGAAAGCAAGAAUCAUCUUCUCUGCUUUGAGUAAGAGCCUCAUGAUUUGUAUUUCUUUGUGCUUAGCACCUUGACUUCUGAGUUGAGGCCUUGGACUACCUCUCUGUUCUUGGACUUUUGCCUUUUGUGAAGGUAAGCAUAUGCUUCAGUGAGAGCUGAUGGUCUCAACUGCAGGAAAGAAAAAUGAAAGUGACCAUGUUGCAAGGUUGCCAUUCAGUGUCAUUUUCUUCUUGAAUUUACUGUUGGAAAGAAUGAGAUCUGCAUGGUGGCUACCAGGUCCCUAGAGAAUGCCUACCUAAAAAUCACUUUGUGCUCUAUUUUAUAUACUGGGAUUUUUCUUGGUUAAAAAAAAGUAAUCAUUUGAAUCUCCUUUUUUGCACCUGGAAGACCAAGUGGUUACAGCAGCUGCUGUUCAUCUUCCUCUCUCAGCAGGUGUUUAAUCCCUUCUGGCCUCUUGAGAAGAAAACCUGGUCAGUUUUACAGCUUCGUGGUUUUCCUUCAUUCCUCAUCUCUUGUGCUGACCAUAUCUAACCUAAAUCUCCCCUCUAUCAGUUUCAGUAAUUUCUUGUUCUGUCAUUAUCAAUCAGUGUAACAGUUGGUCUCCCUCCUGUUUAUAAACUCCUUUUCAGUGAUGCUACAGAUCAGUGUCUUACUUCUGUCUGUACCUCUGAAGCCAUCCUUUUGAAAAUGAACAGAUGAAAAGGGUUACCUUUGUCCCUUGAAUACCAGAGGCAGUCAUUCACAUUUGGUCAAUUGCUGGUGUUGAUCAACAUGCAGCUUGUGUCAGGAGACCUGUGUUUUAAAAUGUAAGCUUGGAAUAAUCAGUGUUGGAUCAUGUUUCAGUCAAGCUGAGGUGGCUCAGUUCACUUCAGAAAUUAACUCUUCUGAUUUGCGUGUAUGGUUAUCUUCAGUCUGACAGCACUUAAAUGAAAACAAAAUGGUGAUGGUAGCUGAAUAAUGGUUAUCAAUAAAAACAGCAGUGUAAGUAUCGCACUUCCCCCAGCUGUGAAAUGCUUGGUACAUUUUCAAGCCAAGACGCUAGCCUGUACACAUACAAUGACGAUAAAAG
ensembl:lncRNA